UUUUAAUACAUGAUCAUUAGUCUUGUGGCACUGUCAUUUGUGAACAAUGCAUAUGCCUCUAUUACCUUACUCACAUCCUGCAAUCAGUGUUUGGUUGCCAAGCAACCAGCAAGCAGAUGUGGAGGAAAGUCCCCUUAUAUACAAUCCAGUAUUAUUGUGUAUUUUCCUGUGAUGAAAGCAACACACACUAAUGGCUGGAAAAUAACCCUCACCACAGCUUUAUCCCAGAUGAGAGCCAUUCUUUCCUCCACGCCGUUCACACCUUCUGGGAUCUGAGUGAAGUCGUCUUUGCCGAUGGCCUUCUGUGCCACGCUGAAGGUGCAGUGAGCGCUGCCAGUCACGCUCAGGUCUCCGCUGUCAGGAAACGUCAAGAAAAGAUGGAGUUAUUCUGACGCAGAGACGUUUGUGUAUGUGAAUAAAGCCCUGCCAACAUGA